GCAGCAAAAGGAAAAAGAUCACUUCAUGGCUCACUUCAACUACACAAACAGAAAUUAACAUCAAUGAUUGCAGCUCCUCUGUUCAAGAUUUGCCACAAUCUGCUCUUAUAUAAAGAUUCAAUAGCUGGUUUAGUGUAGCUGGUUUUGAAAGCACAAUAUAUCCUAAUGACUGACAGGAUGACAGAAGAGGUUUGACCUGACUACCACUUUCAUAAUGAAGUUUCUCUACACAGAGAAAAAUG